GGGGCCAUAGCUCAGUGGUUAGAGCAGUCGGCUCAUAACCGAUUGGUCGCUGGUUCAAGUCCAGCUGGCCCCACCA
rnacentral:tRNA from 2 species